AGAGGGGAAGGUGAAAGUGGAAAAGUCAGGAAUCAGCAGCCAUCUUAUUAACACAGCUCCGCGGCGAACGGCUGAAUAUUCAGAUACUCGGAGAAGAGUUUAAACACAGACAGUUCUGACUCUCCGAGAAAAAGACUACGAGAGGAAUAAAGGUGUUAAACAGGAGGAGGAGAAAAUGGCUGAAUCAUCAUCACAACAACAAAGAGAAGACAGUAAGAGCAGCACUGAUAGACCACCAUCAAGCUUUGCUCCUGACUCCAGAACUCAAGAAUAAUCGACCCAGUGGAGAACCUGAAGGAUUACUUAUGCCAGAAGCAUGAGAGACCCCUGGAGCUGUUUUGUAGAGAUGACCAGACAUGUGUGUGUGUCUGUUCUGCAUUGGAGGAGAUCACAAGUAUCACAACACUGUUCCUAUAGAGGAGGAGAGUGGAGAGAAAAAGACACAGCUGGAAAAGACACAGACAGAGAUGCAGCAGAUGAUCCAAGACAGACUGAAGAAAAUAGAAGUCACCAAACACUCAGCAGAGCUAAAAAAAA